GAUGAACGCUGGCGGCGUGCCUAAUACAUGCAAGUCGAGCGAACGGACGAGACGCUUGCUUCUCUGAUGUUAGCGGCGGACGUGUGAGUAACACGUGUAUAACCUACCUAUAAGACUGGGAUAACUUCGGGAAACCGGAGCUAAUACCGGAUAAUAUCUUGAACCGCAGGGUUCAAUAGUGAAAGACGGUCUUGCUGUCACUUAUAGAUGGAUCCGCGCUGCAUUAGCUAGUUGGUACGGUAACGGCUUACCAAGGCAACGAUGCAUAGCCGACCUGAGAGGGUGAUCGGCGACACUGGAACUGAGACACGGUCCAGACUCCUACGGGAGGCAGCAGUAGGGAAUCUUCCGCAAUGGGCGAAAGCAUGACGGAGCAACGCCGCGUGAGUGAUGAAGGUCUUCGGAUCGUAAAACUCUGUUAUUAGGGAAGAACAUAUGUGUAAGUAACUGUGCACAUCUUGACGGUACCUAAUCAGAAAGCCACGGCUAACUACGUG
rnacentral:rRNA from 1 species